UAGGGAAUCUUCCGCAAUGGGCGAAAGCCUGACGGAGCAACGCCGCGUGAGUGAUGAAGGUCUUCGGAUCGUAAAACUCUGUUAUUAGGGAAGAACAAAUGUGUAAGUAACUAUGCACGUCUUGACGGUACCUAAUCAGAAAGCCACGGCUAACUACGUGCCAGCAGCCGCGGUAAUACGUAGGUGGCAAGCGUUAUCCGGAAUUAGUGGGCGUAAAGCGCGCGUAGGCGGUUUUUUAAGUCUGAUGUGAAAGCCCACGGCUAAACCGUUGAGGGUCAUUGGAAACUGGAAAACUUGAGUGCAGAAGAGGAAAGUGGAAUUCCAUGUGUAGCGGUGAAAUGCGCAGAGAUAUGGAGGAACACCAGUGGCGAAGGCGACUUUCUGGUCUGUAACUGACGCUGAUGUGCGAAAGCGUGGGGAUCAAACAGG
rnacentral:rRNA from 1 species